rnacentral:tRNA from 1 species
CGGCACGUAGCUCAACAGAUCAGAGCGUCGGGCUUCGGACCCGAAGGAAGCAGGUGCAACUCCCGCCGUGCCGG